AGCUUGCUCUGGUGGCGAGUGGCGAACGGGUGAGCUAAUAUAUCGGAACGUACCCUAGAGUGGGGGAUAACGUAGCGAAAGUUACGCUAAUACCGCAUACGAUCUAAGGAUGAAAGUGGGGGAUCGCAAGACCUCAUGCUCGUGGAGCGGCCGAUAUCUGAUUAGCUAGUUGGUAGGGUAAAAGCCUACCAAGGCAUCGAUCAGUAGCUGGUCUGAGAGGACGACCAGCCACACUGGAACUGAGACACGGUCCAGACUCCUACGGGAGGCAGCAGUGGGGAAUUUUGGACAAUGGGCGAAAGCCUGAUCCAGCAAUGCCGCGUGAGUGAAGAAGGCCUUCGGGUUGUAAAGCUCUUUUGUCAGGGAAGAAACGGUGANAGCUAAUAUCUCUUGCUAAUGACGGUACCUGAAGAAUAAGCACCGGCUAACUACGUGCCAGCAGCCGCGGUAAUACGUAGGGUGCAAGCGUUAAUCGGAAUUACUGGGCGUAAAGCGUGCGCAGGCGGUUUUGUAAGUCUGAUGUGAAAUCCCCGGGCUCAACCUGGGAAUUGCAUUGGAGACUGCAAGGCUAGAAUCUGGCAGAGGGGGGUAGAAUUCCACGUGUAGCAGUGAAAUGCGUAGAUAUGUGGAGGAACACCGAUGGCGA
rnacentral:rRNA from 1 species